UACGUAGGGGGCAAGCGUUGUCCGGAAUGACUGGGCGUAAAGGGAGUGUAGGCGGCUCAUCAAGUUAGAUGUGAAAUCCCGCGGCUUAACCGCGGAACUGCAUCUAAAACUGGUAAGCUGGAGUGCAGGAGAGGUGAGUGGAAUUCCUAGUGUAGCGGUGGAAUGCGUAGAUAUUAGGAGGAACACCAGUGGCGAAGGCGGUCUGCUGGACAGCAACUGACGCUGAGGCGCGAAAGCGUGGGGAGCAAACAGG
rnacentral:rRNA from 1 species